rnacentral:tRNA from 1 species
GCCGCGGUGGCUCAGUCGGUAGAGCGUCAGUCUCAUAAUCUGAAGGCCGUGAGUUCGAUCCUCACCCGGGGCA